CAGUAGCCGCGGUAAUACGUAGGUGGCAAGCGUUGUCCGGAAUUAUUGGGCGUAAAGGGCUCGCAGGCGGUUUCUUAAGUCUGAUGUGAAAGCCCCCGGCUCAACCGGGGAGGGUCAUUGGAAACUGGGAAACUUGAGUGCAGAAGAGGAGAGUGGAAUUCCACGUGUAGCGGUGAAAUGCGUAGAGAUGUGGAGGAACACCAGUGGCGAAGGCGACUCUCUGGUCUGUAACUGACGCUGAGGAGCGAAAGCGUGGGGAGCGAACAGGAUUAGAUACCCCAGUAGCCCUGUCUCUUAUACA
rnacentral:rRNA from 1 species